UGUGUUUUAAGUCCUUCACUCGUACACUCUAAGUCUUGGGUUUAUUAUACUCUCACAUGCAUCCAUCUCCAUGGUCGUACUUGUAUCAUCCUCCCCUCUUUAAAAAGGAUUUGACCUCAAAUCUAUGCCUUGCAAAAUCAAAGAGAGACAAACAAACACACUUCCUCAUGACAUGAGGGUUAGGGUUAGCAAAAAUAAACAACAAUGGUAUGCACCCAAAACACUCAAAGCAGUCCACACCAAAAAAAAAAGAAAUCGAGGAACUUUUGAGUUCAAGUAUCGGCCAACAACAGGUCUUGACAUGCCAAGGAGGUUCAUAUUUGACAUAUAACCAAGAGUCCUUAGUGUUAAACAAUAUGAAGCCAUCAAAAAAUUCACCAAGGACUUGGCUAUGAUAAGUAUCAAAAAGAAGCACACCUAAGCUGAGAGUAAAUCUUCUUCAACCUAAAAUUUCAUCAAGACAAAUGGGAAGAGGGUCCA
rnacentral:lncRNA from 1 species